rnacentral:lncRNA from 10 species
UGGGAUGUGGAUGCAGCAGUUCUGGCUCCCAGCCCCGUGCUCACCAGCCUGUUUAUGGGAGUGCUCCAGCCCACAGGAGAGCCUCCUCCACCCUGCUCCCACGUGAGGAACUGCCGACACUACCUUUACCCAGCCUGCCUCAAAAAUGCCGCCUCCACCGCCCCGUAACAGCCAGGAAAGAAGCGGGGCCCUCAAUCCAACAGCAGCGGGGAGGCUGGCUCAGGAAGGAACCACCCUCACCUCCUCUGCGGGUAUCAUCCCUGCGGACUGAGAAGAGAGGCCCUGGGGAAGCAGGCAGCCACGUUGGAGAGGCCCAUACGGCAUGGCCACCAUGGCCAGCAAGGCGUGGAGGCCCUCAGUCCAGCAGCCCGUGAGGAACCGCAUUCUGCCAGCCACCAAAUGACUGAGCUUGAAACAACCCCACAUGAAUCUUGAGAUGAACCCACAGCCCCAGGUGACACACCUUGAUCACAGUCUGAGAGAAAUCCCGGAGCAGAGAACCAAGUAAAGAUUACUGGUCCACAGCAACGAGAGAAUAAAGCACAGGCCUUGAUGUGGAGUGUUUCGAGGAGAGGAGCCCAGAGGACAGAGCCCUGUCUCCAACUGCCCUACCCAGGCCCCCUGCCCUCAGCUGGGCAGACGAGGAAAGUGGGAGAAGCUGCCUCACGUCCUCAAGGAGCCACAGCCGUGGAUCCUUUCCAAAGAGCAAUCCUCCCAAAGCUGGGAACUCCAGGCCUGUCUGGAGCAGGGCAAGCUUUCCAAAGCACAUCCACUUCCCCUGUCUCCCCUGCUCUCACCAGUACCCCAGGGAGGACAGAGAAAUGGCACCAGUCAUCUACAAGACUCUCAGAAGCUUUGCCUGUUCAAGUUUCAACAGACCUAAAAGGUAAACGUGAUCAUACCCAUUUUACUACUUGGAAUUAUUAUUAGAAUUUACUCAUCAGAAUGACUUAGCAGCAGAGGCAGGAUUUGAACCCGUGUGACUCAAAGCCCACUUCCUAUUUGUUUUACAAAUAGGAAAACUGAGAAUCAGAGAGUUUGAACAUUCUGAUGGCACCCGCAGGUAGCCCCACACAGUCCUUCCUGGAUACUGUCGUCAGGAUUGGGGUUUUUAAAGAUCGAGGGGAGAGGACACGCAGGAUGGAGCAGGACUGUAGGAGCCCAGGCCAGCACUGCUCCCACUUGUCUGGCAAGAGUGGGUCUCCCUCCUGCUCUCUAUCAAGUCACCGUGCCAACCAGCAAAGUUGAAUUAUUAAAACUCCUUUCUGGGGUACCCCACGAAUUUUUCCCCGCCGAGACUCAGAGAAGAGGGGCAGCCACUCCCGCCACACAAUAUUAAAAUGUCAGGAGUUUAAGGCCUGCGUUGGUUGAGUCAUAAGUUAUCAGCACCCAGUGAGGGCCGACAGAAUGCCUCCCCUAAAUUAUUAAGCAGAAUGCGUCAGACUGUAAUAUUUUGCUAAACCAAAGUACAGACACAGACAAAGAUGUCAUUUCAAUAUUUGAAACCAGCAAGUUUAAUUUAAAAUAAGAGCAAACCAAUAAGCUCAGAACAUAGCGGCGUAUGAGAGGAAAAUUAUACUGUGAGAGGAAAAAAAAGUGGAAGGACUUAAGAAAUUUAUAAAAGUAAUCUCCAAGUGGAAAUUAGAAAUCAAGGCCUAGAAACAGAAUAACACAAAAGAAAUAUUACUGUCCACUUUCUAAAUCAAUAUAACACUGCUCCACGCCGGAAUUACCAUGGUAACUCAAGUAAAAAGAAUCAAGC